UUUGGAAAUAUCUCUUAUCUUCACAAAACUGUUCAUGCAGUUGGAAAUAAUGCAACUGGGAGGGAAAAGUUGAUGGUGCAGAACGGGGGACUGGAGCAAGGCUCCAAGUGGCAGGCAGGGACUUGAAGCGAGGUACACACAGAGGUGCUGGCCUUCAGUGGAAGCACCGGUCGUUCAUCCAGGCUGUGCAGGGUGCAAGCAGAAGACAUGGACGAAGGGGAAGGGAUCUCUAGGAAGAGACUUGCCAACUCUGAGGCACAUUGAAAAGACCCACAAGUCUACUUCAUGUCAACUGGAAUAUUCACAUGUAAAAUUUGGGUAUAUUUUAGGAAAUUCAUACAACUGUUCUCACAUGAGAUUAAAAAAUCAGAAUCUUA